rnacentral:rRNA from 1 species
CCUACGGGAGGCUGCAGUGAGGAAUAUUGCGCAAUGGGGGAAACCCUGACGCAGCGACGCCGCGUGAGUGAGGAAGGCCUUCGGGUCGUAAAGCUCUGUCAAGAGGAAAGAAGUGUACAAUGGCUAAUACCUGUUGUAUUUGACGGUACCUCUAAAGGAAGCACCGGCUAACUCCGUGCCAGCAGCCGCGGUAAUACGGAGGGUGCAAGCGUUGUUCGGAAUCACUGGGCGUAAAGGGCGCGUAGGCGGCUUGGUAAGUCAGAUGUGAAAGACCACGGCUUAACCGUGGGGUUGCAUUUGAAACUGGGAGGCUUGAGUGUCGGAGAGGGCAGUGGAAUUCCCGGUGUAGCGGUGAAAUGCGUAGAUAUUUGGAGGAACACCAGUGGCGAAGGCGGCUUACUGGGCCGGAACUGACGCUGAGACACGAAAGCGUGGGGAGCAAACAGGAUUAGAUACCCUAGU